rnacentral:lncRNA from 1 species
UUUUCAUAUCUGUUUUUUACUUGAUUUGUUAUUUGAUUAAGAGACGUGGGGGUGAACAAUGUAGUGGUACGUACUGUAGGAGUAUUUUAUGUGUUUUUCUCAUAGUGAGGAGUCAAUCACGAGGAAUAGUGGCAUAGACAUGUCUCCAUGUAUUCCUAUUGUUAACUAGAGAUUAAUUUCUUAAAAAAUAAAACAUAUUUAGACAUCAAAGUUUUAAAUUAAUAUUGUAUAUAAAGAUAAAUUACGAUUUCAAGAGUCAAAUAAUGAAACUCAAAUUUAGAAGUAAGAAUAAUAAGAUACGUGAUUCUCACAUGCAUGAUUCUCAUACACAGUGAUGUUUCUUCGAAUUAAUGAUCCAAUCGUAUUCUGAUAGUUUUCUGAUUCUAGUAUGAAGUUUUAGUAUCUCACUCGUAGAUAGUAGCAGUGACAUAAAUAAAGAUUAUAAGAGCGAUUUCAUCUUUUCACCAAGCCCAUAAGCCACACUGAUAAUCUCCAGAUAAGAAGCACAUCUUUACAGGUAACAUUGGUUUGGUUCGUAUGUAACUUGUAGAGAAAGAAAAAGAAUAUAAAAUGCAAAGCUAUAACUCUAAUAUACUAAUUACUUAAUUACUACUAACAUUCUUAAUGCAUUGUCACCUAGUGAGGUGUGAACAACGAGGGGUGGCAUUAUCAUGUUGAUGCGGACAUGUAAAGCAACAUAUUCUCACCACCCCCACAAAAUUAUUUUAUUACCUAAUUUUAAUAAUUCGAAUAUAAUAUUAUAACUUUUAUCAUAUUUUAUUGAGUCAAUGAUAAAAUAUGGUAUUAAAUAAUUCUGACAAAUCCAGUUUAUCAUAACUAAUAAUGGAUUUUUGUUUUAUCUUUUGGCGAAGGAAAAGUAGAAUAAUGCACAGCUUCGUAUAAGGGGGAGAGCACACAAAUCACAUCAAUUCAACUAUUACGGCUCUACAAAAAAAGGACCCAAACUAAGGUAAUAUUACCAAACUGCCAUUAGGGAUUUAACUUUAUUUAUUACGAAAACAAAAGAUAAGAAUUAAACUCCUGUAUUAUUUAAAAGUAUCAAAUCAUUAAUAUCCGUAGAGUUUCGUUUUUUCUAAUUAAUAGAUAUAUGGUUAGAAUGGUAAUGAUCUUUUAGAAUUGAGUUGAUAUUAAUUGAAUAAUAUGAUCUAACUGAUAGAAAUAAUCAAAAUGGUAGAUCUUACGAUAAAAAACUUACAAGCACAAAGUGCUUUGUACUUUUACAAGCACUAUAUAUAUAACCUAACUCACACUAUAAAUAUAGUUAAAAUAUAUUUGGCAAAAUAUUAACUAAUAUUAUUUUUUGAAAAUAUUAAAAGUGAAAAUUUUUUAGAAGUUAUUAGUUAGUUCAACAGUUAUUAUUUAUAUAUCUCCUAAGAUAUAUAUAGAGAGAUUAUGGAUUGAGUGGGCAUUAAAAAUAGAGCUAAUUCUCUUAAAAUUGUCAACUUUAAAAUUUGGCCAAACUCAAACUCUCCUUCCUCUUAGAUCCCAAAUAUGCCCUUCAAGGUAAGCACAUUUAGGAUGUGAUUUAGGGGUGUUUUAGUCAAUUCGGGCACUGCUAGUGUUCCAGGGAACAGAGGGCAAUGGUCGAGGUUGGGUCAUGUGAUGGAAGGAGGGAUGUGAUGGGUGAUGAUUGAAGGCACGUGACACUAACCAAGAAUAGGAAUAGUAGUGUUGGGAUUUAAAUAUUUACUAAUCACAGGUUUAAUGGGAUAAUUAAGAGAAUUAAUUAAAUAUGGUGUUAAAGGUGGUGGUUGCAGCUAAGAUUCACUGGGUGUUGGGGCUGGAUGGCACGUGCGGAUGGGUCAGAUCUCACAUGGGGCUUGACCAGGGCUUAAACCCUUUUCACACAAAUGAGCUCAUCGCUAGUAAGAUUACCAAACUUAAAAGAGUUUUUGUUUGGCAAUGAAAAUAAAAAAUUUAGAUUAUUAGAUUAAGCAGAUGUAAAUGCGUAAUGUUGUUUGAUAGAAUAUUAUACUACCCGAGCUAUUAGAAUGAACAUUAUUUUAAUAUUCUUUAAAAAUUAUAGCAAUAUUAAAAAUAUCAAAUUGAAGCAAUUUUCUUUUCGAUUUAAUUUUAUUUCUAUUUUUCAUUAUAGCUGAAGUUCUAAAUUUUUUUCUUUUCCAAACGUACGCUUCAUCUAAUGUUGUUGUUGCCAUUCCGAGCUUCAACUACAAGAAAUAUCUAUUAGAGAAUUUUAAUUUAAUAUAUUUUUUAAAAUAUGCUAUUUAAGUAACACUUUAUUCAACGGCACUAUAUCUUGUGAUAAAUCAAACAUAUAUACACACACACACACACACACACACACACACGUAAGAGGAGGGAGAAAAAUGUCCCACGCGCGAGAUCUGAGGGUCGUAAAGUAUUCGCCCAUGUGGACGGAAGGGAUCAGAUCACGUGUAUUAAGAGUGAGAUUUGAUGCUUGUAUUGGCUUUUCGAGACCAGUUUUGAGUAUUAAUUUGAAAGGAGAUCUGAAUGUUAGUUUAAAUUUUAGAAAUAUAACCUUUUGAUUGCUUUGACAAAAGAGUAAAAGAGUAUCUUAAGUUAAGCUCAAAUUAUUUCUUAAAGUUUAUGAAAUAACGCUUUGUUUAAGAAAGCCGAUAAUAAUGCGCGCCGAUCAAGUUGUGAGGCACUAUAAAAAGAAGUCCUAUAAGAGGAUAUUUUUAGGAAAAGUACUUCUAUUAUCAUUUUUAUCUAUUGUUCGUAGUAUAUAUUAUACAAUCUCUAAUUUAGCGGGCCAAAUUUUUUAAGAAAGAAAUCAUAUAUUGUAUCAUUCAGCCACUUAUUGCAAAUUUCACAUGACUUAUGAACAGACUUUUAUAAUACAAAAUUAUUUCAAGUACUAGCUAAAUAAAAAGUCGGGGCUUUUGCUAUGACAAAAAAGUUCUAGAGUGCCAGUAUAAAUGAAAGUUUCAAUCUGCGAAAGUCUUUACGUCAACUGCGGUUCAAUUUUGCUCAAAUAAUACUUCUGUCGCUCCAACCGGGCCUCAUGGGCUAGAUCAUAGUUCAGAUGCCUUUUACUUUGGGUAUAUGGGCCAAGCCAAAUCCACCUGAUGAGCUUAGUCAAAAUGUGUGUGCAAAUCUAGUUUGGAUAUAAGAUCUCUAUGCUUAUAUUAUUUUCGACUUGGUUGGUGCGCCGAACUCAACGAACCUAGCCCCAUAGUGAGAAGUAAUUAAUUUUUGGAGAAACUUCAAAUACCACACAUGUGAUUUCGUAUUUUUUUAUUUCAAUACCUUGUGGUUUAAAGUGCAUCAAUUUAGUUAAAACUAAAAUAUACUAAAUUAAAUAUUUGAUAAACCUAGAUAGAGUAUCUAUAGUUUUUUGUAUAUAAUUUAACGAAAUGUUAUGUUAAUGAAGGAGCUGACAAAAAAAAAAAAGAAAAAAAAACCACAAGGUACUAAAUUGAUACACUUUAAACCACAUAGUAUUAAAGUGAGAAAGUGCGAAAUCACCGGGGUGGUAUUUGAAGUUUACCUUUUAUUUUUAUUUUUGAGGUAGGACACAAGCUCAACUUGAUGAGCAAAUCUUAACAAUAAUUCAUGUAAUUUAGUGAUUGAAUAUCACCCUUGGCCUCAUAAAUAUCAUUGUUUCAUGUAAGAUUCAUUUGUAAUUGCGCAAAGAGAAACAAAAAACAUAGUAAUUAAAACACACCACGCCGUCAAUCGAAUAGUAGUACAAGUGUGAAAAGUUUUACAUCUCUUGAAACAUGAUGUUGUACAUGUAAUAAAUGAAGCAAGAAGAAUGUAAUUUUACAGCAAUCAAAGUUCAUCCUCACCAUCUUUUCUUAUUGUACACACUCUCUCUCAUCUUUGGAGGCAUGAAGGGUUUCUGAUACCUCCAAAUUGCUAUAGAAGGAAUUGGCUUCUUACAUUCUUCUUCAUCAAUGUGCUUCAUUCAUUACUUGCUCCAUUGUAGCCAAAGAGUAGCCAAAAAUAUUGGUAUCCAUGAUGUAAUGAGUUUAGGAAUAAUGAGUUCGUUCCCAUUGUUCGGUGCAAUCGUCAUGUUUCCGGCAUGAGCCGCAGCAAGUGAACCUGCUAAUUAUGUUAACAAAGAGAAGUUAUUCGGGAAGCUGAGCUGAACCUGCAGUUAUUGCACUAGUUUGGAAACUAGGAGUGUGCUUGAGCAAACCCUAGCCUGCGUAACCAGUUCGGUCGAACCGGUAUACGGGUGUAAUUGGUUCGGCUUAAUCAUAUGGAUCAAUUUAUUGGUUACGGGAUAAAGAGCCCAAGUAGUUAAAAAUAGAAGCAUCAACACUAACUUGGUUCGGUUGGUAGAGAUGACCAAAGCGAACCAAUACCAAAAAUCGAAAUUCCACAAAUAUAUAUCCAUAUGGAACCGGAACGAAAACCAAUUUAACAGAACCAACUACAUUUAUUUGGUUUGAUUCAGUUUGGUUUUCAGAAUAGGACUAUUAGAUCCCACUAGUACGUAUGUCAAUUGUGGGCCGAUACCUACAAGUUCAUCUAACUUCGAAUCUAAAUGGCACGUGUUUAUCUGAUAUAGGAAAAGGAAAAACUGACGGGUUCGAAUUUGGAUAUGAAUUUUGUCGGUAUCAGACCGAACCCAAAUAUAAUUUAUAUUAUAUUAAUAUAUAUGAUUACUUGAUGUGAUGUUUGAAUUUAUAUUUUGAAAAAUUAGAUUUCACAUAAUAUAUUGUGAAAUUUGGUAAAAAAAUAAUUAUUUCAGGUUUGAAUUUUCAGGUUCAGAUUCAAGUUUUUGGAAUUUUGGUCGGGUUCAAUUUUGGAUAUAGAUUUUUAAAACCCGCCAAGCUCAGAUUCCGGUUCAGAUUUCAUGUUUGAUAUCGGAUUUGAGCUCGAGUUUUUGAAAACUCAAACCGAAUCCAACUAGUUAACAUCCCUACCCGCUAGAGAGGCAAGGAUAAAAAUGAGAUUUCAAUCUAAAAUUCUACGUAAUCUUAUGUUUGCUCCUUCUCUCUCGUCUUAUCUGAUUCAAUCUAAUUCUAUUACAUUCCAAACAAGUUUCUAAAUUCUAAAUUUCAACAAGAGAAUUGAAAACUCACCUCCACUGCCGCCAUCCGAUUGAGAGCCACCACUGCUGUUAUUCCCACUACCAACACCACAUGACAUUUGAAAUAUGGCCAUAACUCCUUGCAUGAGCCCUGGGUUGUACCCUUGAAAAUUGGCCAUAAUCCCGUUUACGCAGUUCAUGAUCAGCAUCAUUUGCCCAAAGCAUGGCCCAUUGCAUAAUCCCGCGGUCGCAUUAGAUGUCGAAGUAGACGCCGUAAUGUUUUUCUUGAAAGGGAUUAGCCCAGUGGGAGCAGGAGGAGCACCAGUAGUGUGGUUACUAGUAUUGGCAUUAGUUGCAUUUGCAGUUCCAUUCAAGUUUAUUCCCAUUGAUUGGAGGCACCCAUUGAUCACCUACAAGUUUUAUGCAAGUGUAAAGUAAAGAGGUGUGCUAUUCUCGCCGACUCGGUGAGCCAAAUCGGCGAGGACCGCCGCCCCUUCAUCAGACGGUAUUUACUGAUUCCACGAGCCAAAUCGCUGAAUCGACAAAUUUAAUUCUUUUCCUAAAGUUAAAAAAAAAAAAAAGAAACAGUUUUUCUAUUCUUACAAAUAGUAGUUGAGUGUUUGGCGAAGCAGAAGAUGCGAUUCAAACUUUUGCUUUUCUUAUUUGAAAGGAUUUUAAUGAAGAAAAAUAUUUGCGAAUUAUAUUUUUUUUGAAUAGUUCUAUUCAAACAGCACUUACUAUUACAGUUUUUAAUGAUUAUCGUAUAAAAGUAAAGAUGUUCUUACUGUACGAUUGUCAAAGCAAAGAGCUGCGCUGGCUACAAUCUGAACUGCAUCUUGUGCUGCAUCAUAAAAUGAAGAGAGAGAUUUAGAUAAAACUUUUUGUUAUCUCAAACACCAACAAAAAGAAAAAAUGAUAAGAAAUAAGAUAAGAAAGAGAAGAAAGAUAUGGGGAAGAGUGACUUAAUUUACAAGAGGAGAGGAAGUUAAAUUACCUCUACAACGGGAACAAGCAAUGCAAAGUAGAGCAGCUGCAAAGAAUAAAUGCUUUAGAGUGAGAGAAGCCAUAUGAAAAAAAAAAAAAUUGAAGAAGGAAUAGCUUCUUCAACAAGAGCAAAAAUGAGCACUAUUUCACCUCCAUCUUAGGUUGUAUGUAUAUAUAUAUAAGCAACCCUAUUACAUGCACUAUUAACAUAGGAAGGGAACUAUUAUCCAACCUACACACACUUGCCCAUGAUUCUUAAUUUGCACCAAGAAACCUAGCUAUCGCUUUCAAGCAGAUAAAACUAUGACUAUUUCUAGGUCAUUUCUCAUUUCUCAUUAUUUUUUCUUGCAUGGUAUCAAAGUCGGUCCUCAUUAAAUCUUUUAAUUAUGUAGGGAUCAUAGUUUCAAAUUUUUCGUAAGUCGUAAUAAUUAUGCUUGUUUGGUCCUACUUAUACUUCUACGUUCAGUAGCAACAAUAUUAUUGGUUUUUAUAUAAAAAAUAUGGAAGUUCAGAACUUCUGCUGUUGUGAGAAAGAGAAAUGAGAUUGUAAUAUCUAAAAGCAAAAGCUCCAAAUUAGCUUCUUUUUAUCUGCUGCAAAGAAAAAAAAAAUUAAAGAGAAAGAUCUCAAUUUAAUGAUAUAUAUAUAUUUAUAUAUAUUAAUGAACUUAGCUGAAAAUGUGAAGUACCUAGAAUAUAAACUUGAGACUUUAGAUAUUUACCCUCAAGUCUUUUGCCACUUAUGCUAAAAGACAGUUGCUAUAGAGAAGAACUAUUGGAAGGAAUUAAAUAUGGUAUUUCUUUUGAUAAUAUAUUCAAUAAUACUUCAUCAAAUAGCAAUUCACCCUACAUAGAUCCUUGGUAGCUAGGUUAAAAGUCCUAUUCAACAUUGCUUGUGUAUAGGAACUAUUUUGUAUAAUGUCAACCAUUUGUGUUAAAAGAAAAAGAAAAAAAAAAAAAAAACCAUGCAUUAAUUGGUUGCUGUUACUAUGGUUUCACCAACAGUAAUUAGCCACAUAAUUUAUCAUUUAAUUUGGCAUUAACACCUGAGAUUUACCAAUUUUUGGUAGUAAUAUAUGAGCUCAUAAGGAGGUGGGUGGAGUGUUUCCACUAAUUCCACAUUGGCGAACCUAAAGUUAGUUUUUGGUAGUUUUUAUUGAAGGGGGAGGAUGCAGAGUUUGGUGCACAACGAUCAACAAACUUUCACUUGUCUCAAAGACUUUGUUUCUUCACAAGUACCCAAUAAUCAAACCUACACAAGGCUUCAUAACUCCCACUUUAGGAAUUUGUCUCAUCAUUUAAUGUUUUGCAUAUUUUUUAUUGGUGGAUUGAUAGUGACCUUUCUCAUUAACUGAUGCCUAAUAUGGUAGAUGGUGCGUAUUUACCUAGCUUAGAAAAUUUUAGAAAUUGAUUGUUUGAUUGACUAAACUUUCAAAAACUUUUGUUACAACAGAAACUGAAAUAAACUUUUGAUUCUCAAAACAUCUUAAGUUUUAUUUUAAAGUUUCUGUUUCGAAUUUUGGUGUAGUAUCCGACGAUUGAUUAGAUUUCAAUGGAAAAGAACCGAGUACUUUUUCACACAAUAUUUUUUUAUUAAAAAAAAAACAACUUUAUCUGGCCUUCUAGGGCCUUUGUAGAUCAUAACUUUCUCUGGAAGGCCCUAGAAGGCCACUAUAAUGGGCUCAGCUAUAAUGGGCUGGUAUUGGAUUUUUCUUGGGCUUAUUUCGAGCCUAUGCAGUAUAUUGGGCCCGGCCAUUAAACGGCCCAAGAAUAAACUGCUUCUAGACAUUUGUGUACUAACAUAUGUUCCUUAACAAAUAAAAAUUGUUUUAAAAUAAUUUAGUUCAACUAGUACUUUUUAAUGUACGAACCAUAGAGAACCUUAGGUCCAUUUUUAAUAUCACUAUUAGUUGGUUCUUUUUAUAUUUUUUUUUUUAAGUUGCUUGCGCUAGAGAUUACGUGUUCUAUUGAAUUGUACAAGGAAAGAAUUAAGAGUAAUUUCUUAUUCAAAUGGUUGUAUAUAAAAAAAAAAAGUGUGUGUAGUAGUCAAAGUGUUCAACGACCUUCCGUUGACUACCAUGUCAUGUAAAAUAAUUUUUUUAGAGCACGUUAAUGUCGAACUUUUGAUUAUCGCAAUAAUAAGUACGCUUAAUAAUUGAUAAUUGUGAUAGAAAUAGGGAUUUUACUGCAUAACGGAAAUAAUACUUUGUUUGAAAAUAUUUUUGGUGACAAAAUUGAGAAUAAUAGGUCUUAUUACAACAGAAGAAUACUAUACUACUUAAGGAGCUUACUUAGUAUUGCUUAUUCAAAUAUAUACACAAGUAAAACAACAAAAAAAGAUCCUAAUUUUGGUUUACAACAAUUUUGAAAACUCUAUAAAUUAAUUCGAGUGUUCGACAUUGUUUUUGAGAAGGAAACUCUUGUGCGAACUCAGAUAAAUAGAAUUAAGCAUCUAAAUAUCUAGAAGUAGGAUUUGAAUUUGAAACUUCAAUUUCUUGAAAAAUUUAUUGAUGCAUCCAAUUAAUGAUGAAUUAAUAUAAAAAUAUCUACUGAUGAAUUAAUAAGCCUUUACUAUUUUAGGGGGCCAAAAAUACACUUAGUUACAACAAAAUAUUUUAAUUUAUUGGGCUAUUCUGGUCAGUUAGGUCACUAAUGACAGGCUUAUGAGUUAACCAAAUAGCAAUAGAAAAUAAUUAAUUUGUAGGACACAUCGAAAUUAAUAAAAAGAAUGAAUUGGUUUAGUUUGCGUGCACUUCAUGAUAUCAUAAUGUUGGAGUACAUGCAUACAUAUAUAACUAGGCAAUCCCAUGAAAACCAUGGCCUCUUCAUCUCUCUCUCUCUCUCUCUUUCUCUCUCUCUCUCUCUCUCUCUCUCUCUGUGAAGUGUUGAAGUGAGAAGCCCUUGUCAAAAUGGCUUCGUCUCUUUCUCUGAAAAUUUGGUGCUUCUACAUAUAUGUAGCUCUAAUUUGCUUGUCCACUUCUCGGUCCAAUGCAGGUUUUUGCAACUUCUCUUAAUUAUUUCUUGCUAUUGCUUUUUCUGAAAUAUGAUUAGUUUACUACACGCGCCAAACAAGAUGUACAUAAUCUGUAGUUACUCGUUUUUAUUGAUUAUACUAUCCAUUAAUCCCAAGAUGAGAGUAUUACUAUAAAAUCUUCAUCAUAUUUGUCGACGUCAAUUAAUACUCAUUACAUGAAUAAUAUGAACUUAUGCAGAUCAAGUGGCUGGAGAAGCGGGAAAAGAAAUGCUGUGCUUCGACGACAACUACGUGAGUGCAUGAUCAUAGCACGUGAAUUCUCAAAUAAUUAUAUUACUUACGUUUAUAUUCUUAACUAAUCUAGCUACAUUGCACGCAUGGUAACAUAAUUGAGAAUUUUGCAUAAUCGAUCCCUCAUGCUUACUUUUCUACAUGCAUACAUGAUAGCAUAAUUGAAAAUUAUGCAUGCACGUCAUUGAAUGUAGAACAAUAAUUAAUGCCAUUGCCAUGUUUUGCACCCAUUACUUGUUCCUUUAUAUUGCACUUAAUUUUACUGUACAAAGCAAAAUGUAAAAUUUUGAGUUUGCUUUUCCUAUUGUAUAUACUAUCCCCUAGGGAUAAGAGAAAUCACACCCAUGCACAUAUAUAAUAUACCUUUGAAAAUUUAAUUUGAGCGAAUAUAACUGUUCAAAAAUGAAUUUGUCCUAGCUAACAUAUAUAAUUAUAGUUCUCUUCAUAUGCAUGUGUCUCUUCUACUGGCCAAAAGAUAUACAGCAGCUGCGAGGACCAGUACAGAUUGAAAGCAGAAGGGAUCAUCGGGGUCGCUCCGGAGGCGACCGACGAGUACUGCGAGGGGCCAUGCUUCGAGGAGACGAUGCGCGUGCUUCUAUGCAUCGACAACACGCUGCAUGGUGAGUUCAGGUUCGAGAACAGCGCAUCGGUGGAAGACGCACGGAAUGCUCUCCAAAGAGGGUGUAGCCACACUGAUAAAAGAGGUGCCUAUCAUUUUUCAACUUUAAUUUUUUGACUGUAAGACGCAGGAUGAUUUUUCUAGUUGUCGCCAUGAUACCGAGAAUAUAGAGGUUUGAUUUUCUCAAGUUUUGAAUAAGAUUGUUCUAUUUGCAACGCAAAAGUAUCAUGCGUUUGAAUCAUGAAAAGAUUGUUUAAUUCUGUUAAGGAGACUUCGACGACGUUACGGAGCGCCCGGAAGGCCAUCAUGACAAUGAACACGGCGACGAACAUGGGGACGGAGUACACGGGGACGAAGAGCACCACCAUGAAGAGGGAGACUUCUAUGACCAUCCCGGUGAAUUCGGAUACUUCGAUCACGGCAGUAAGCUGGACAUCUCCACCGUCCGUUUGAUGAUGAUGAUGAUGUUCGUGAUCAGUGGGGCUCUGCUUCUAUUGAGUUAGCGAGCACUUGUACAGUUGUAGUACAACUCUUGUUCACUAUUAAAUGAGAAGUGGAGGUUGUUAGAUUGUAAACAUGAAUUUUGAACCCACUACCCCUUUGAUUGGAUGCAGUAUAUCCCAAGGUGAUAUCGUUCGUAUGCAUGUUCCACAAUUUCCUUCAAGAAUUAAUAGAAAUGAGCUGUGACUUGAUAAGAGUAGUUUUACUCUCAAUUUCUUUUUCCUUUUUUUUUUUUUCAAAAACAAAAUUGUGUUGGUAAGAGCAUUUUUGGCCGCACCUCUGCUUUUCCACGGUACCAGUACAAACCCCUCCAACCAGGCCAAAACAAGCCGCUGAUGAAGCUCCAAAGUUCAUUACGCUCAGAAGAUCAAAAAUUACUUUGGUCAUUUAGCUCUUCAUUGGCAACUCGCCUCAUCCCAUCACAUGGAUUGGUUGCCACAACGCAGAAGGAGAAUCAUUGAUUUAUAGCACCUCCUAAUUAAUCUUAUAUAUAUAUUUAAUUUGGAGCCUAAUUGUUUGAUGCAUCUCCCGUAAUUGAACCGACUAAAAUCGCCUUCAUUAUCUUUCAGGCUUAAAUGUCAGCAGUGUGACAUAAACAUCCCACCCCAGUAAUUGACCCGGCUAAAAUUGCCUUCAUUAUCUUCCAGAUCUAAAUGUCACCGCUACGACAUAAACAUCCCACCCAAGAAUAAUACUUUUGUCCCGGUUUACCCAAAGACCCACAGAAAUUAAAAAGAAGAAUUAUUUAGUACAAGUUACGGUAACCCAAUACAACAAUUUAACCAACGUUAAUUGUGUUGUUUACGUAUCCUGCACCAACUGGGUGGGUAAGAGAAACGAGAAGAACAAGAAUCUGCCUCCCGCAUCUCCCCUACGUUCUUCAAUUCCCGCAAGAGAAAUAACUUGGUUCGUCUCUAAUUUGUUGCGCAGCCAAUGCGUCGGUAUCCUCGCACUGGAAUAGCGGCAAAUCAGAUUUCACUAGAAAGGAAACAAAAUUACUCCCGUAAAAGGAAGAAAUUUACUCUAAGCAGAUAUCAUCUUCAAAUUCCAAAUACUCGCACCUUAUUCCUUCUAACAAAUGGUCACCACCAUCUCAUCAGCUCGCCCAUGCUAAAAAUUUCCAGCUCGGAAAUUUACUCCCACUAAAAAUGUAUUUGUGCUUCAUCAUGGACAUACAGUACAAGCGACAUUUUACACUACAAAAUAAAAGGCACAUCGCAAGUUAUCCUUGUAGGCUAGCAAUAAGUGUUUUGCACUAAACGCCUAGCAAUGGUCUUAAAUACUAGCUUUUCAAGACCAGCUCAUUGUCAACCACCGAUCAACAUUAAAAUUCGACAUGCACAAAAGUUAUAAAUCAAUUCACUAGGAGAAAAUUUUAUUAUACUACACUGGAUAAAUUAAAAAGAGUGCUAGAGCAGUACACUGGAGAAGCACGACUCUAUAGAACUAUGAAUCAUCUUUCUAGGAUGUGGUAGAUCAGAUAUCGGCUAGCCCCACGAGCUUCUUGUAGAAUAUGCGGUUAUCUCUUGCAGAAUUGCUCUCAAAUAGAGCACUCUGUACCAUUUCCUAUUUAUAAAAAAACAUGGGAGUAGAGUGAAAAAAAGGAAGUAAAACCCAGUUUAGCAUGUUCAUUUGGUAUAUAAAAUAGUAUUACUACUAACCUUGACAUCCCUAUGGGAAAGGAAUUUUCCUAGAUUAUGAAUGAUGCACCUCAAAUCUUCUACCUGCAAUAAGUAAAUUCGGUAUUACUUAUUGAAAGAUAUGCCAUGAAAGAUUCCAAUAAAGUAAACGAUUAGAAUUACUUACUGUAAUGUAGCCCACUCUAUUUUGGUCGAAGUACCUAAAUGCCUAAGAUGAAUACCAGAGCCACAUCAAAGGUAAACAUAUCAGAAAAAUAAAGCAGAGAAAUAUAUAAUGAACAAAGUGCUUAAAUGCCUAGUUUCGGCUGGCUUUUGAAACUUCUCUACUCUAAGCACAUGCUUGGGUAAAAGACUAAGCUUUUGCUUUGACAGAUGCUGAAAUGAGUAGUUAGGCAACAAAAGCACAAGCUUUACUUUGUAGCUUCUGCUUACGCAGCAAGAAGCUGUUAGGGGAGUUCAAUGAGAAAAAGCAGACAACGCUUCUUCAAGGAACUCUACUCUGCAUGAAUAAAUUCCAGAAUAAAGAUUUAGAACAAAAAAAAAAUGGAGCAGACAGUUACCUGCAAUAGUUCCUUAUCAACAACAUCCUCCUUUGCCAUAUCUUUCUUCUCUGAUGCAGUUUGUUUAUCCCCUUUAGCAUCAGAUUUUUCAUCCAUCCGUGCUGCUUUUUGAGCACCAUCCCCUUUUGUACCAGAUUUUUCAUCACCCUUUGCAGUUUGAUCCAAGCUUUGCUCAUUCACAAUUUCUUUGAUUUUAUCAUUUUCGUCAGUCGCUUUUUCUUGCCCAGCCUCCACAUUAUUUGUUUUGUUUGCAUUUGCAUCCUGCAGAAUGGGAAAAAAAAAAUCAAAAUGUUCAGCACUUCAAGUUUCUAAUGCAAAAAUUCCUACUUAAAUAGUAGAACAAGAGUCCCUAAGAAGAAUUCUCUAGAAAAUAAUAGAAAACUGUUAAAACCAUGCAGCAUUAGAAAUUCCAAUAUUUUAGAAUAACACAAAACAGAAAGGAUAAAAUGCAGAAAAACCCGACCGAUUUAUCGUAACGUUAAACUUAACCUCUUGUAAAAUUGAGGGGAUUUUCUAAAGAUCUCUUAUCAAGGGGGUAUUGCGGAAAACAUAAUAGUCCAAAGGAGGAUUAUGCAUGUUAGCCUGAAAACAGAGAAUGGGAGAAAGAAUAAUUACAUCCUGAUCUGCAGCAUCAUUUGGGGCAGCGGCAGCAUCAUCCAUUUCCUGAUCCUCCUCAACAAUUUCCUCUGGAUCUUCUUCUUCCUCCUCUUCUUCAUAUUCUACAUCAUCAUCUUCAAUUUUGUUUUCUAUUUUGGGCUCAUCUGGGACAGUACCACUUGCAUCUAGAGCCAUAUUCUCUUCAUUAGCAUUUUGGUUUGAUGCAUCCUUCUUUUCGGAUUUUGUAGGGUCAUUUUCUGUUGGAGUCUCAUCAUUUGUCUUCACACGUUUUUCUGAGGCAUUUUCAUCACCUUUCUCAGAUUUUUCAUCUCUCUGUCUUUUACGUUGGUUUCUUCUAAUUACAUAUCUUCUCCGUAAUCUCUGAAAAUAUAAAUAUGAGAGCACCAAUCAAAGAUAAUAAAGAAUUUAACAGAAAGCAAGAUUUGAAAUGUACCUCGAGAAAAGCCAAGAGCCGACAUCCCAUUUGGUACUGAAGCAUUUCAUUAAACGUCUCAGCAAAUAGUGAAAGCUACAAAAGUUUAACAGAAUAAAUAAAUGUCCCCAAAUAUUACUACAACUACUACAAGAGCUAACAAAAUGAACAAAAAAUUUAUAAUCAGGUAAAGUUCUUUCUAUCUAGGGCUCUAAUUACAAUCUCAAUUAUUUUUUUUUAAAAAAAAUAAAAGGCGCAAACACUUUUUCAAUAUAAUUGCCUAUUAGGAGAAGCAAAAAAAAAAAGCAAACCUCAAAAGUUGACUCCUCAAUGUCUUUCUCAUUAUAAUCAAGGAGCCCAACAAGCGAAAGUGCCAUUGAGCGAAUCUGCAAAAUAAACUAGAAUCAGACAAAGAAUCAACUCAAGCAAGUCAAUUAAACAGUCCCAACUGUACAAAAAUAAGAAGCUAAAAGCUUCAAUGAAAUCAUACUUUAGAUCCCCUGCCCCGUUUCGUCCGCACGACAAAUCCUGGGUUCUUGGGGGGUCCUUCUACCUUCUCUUUUUCCUUAACAUCUUUCCUCAUUUUUUGCUUGGAGGACUCAUUCUUUGCAUCUUUGCUCUUACUCUCUUUCUCAUCCUUUCCAUCUUUGUUAUUUUCAUUCUUUGUAUCUUUGCUCUUACUCUCUUUCUCAUCCUUUGUAUUUUCCUUCUUCCCAUCUUUGUUAUCUUCCUUAGAAUCCUUUUUUCCAGAUUCAUGAUUGCUCUUAGUGCCUUCUUUAUUCGUAGUAGAUUUACUUUCAUUAGAAGGGCCUUCCUUCUUUCCUCCUUUUUCUUCUUUCAUUUUCUUAUCGCUAGAGGUUUCUUUCUCAACAGACGGGGACUUGAGUUCUUCUUUUAGACCAACUUGACUCAUUAUGCCUUCUUUGCUUGCUUCAUCACUUUUGUUAGGGGCAGAAACUUUUCUCUUAACCACCCUUCUAAUGAUUUUCUUCUUUCCAGGUGUCUUAACUCCAUCUUUUCUUGUUUCACCUUGGCCUUUGUUAUCUUGAGUAACUGAUUCUUUUUCAGGUUUCUCCUCAGUCUUAGUCUCAACAGUCUUAUCCUCUUUAUUUUCCCCUAUGGUAUUAGUAGUCUCUUCUCCGCUAACUGGAGUUGCUUUCUUGCGAAUUACCCUUCCUUUAACCACCUUCUUAAUGAUUUUCUUCUUUAUGGGCUUCUUACCCUUGACUGCUGGUACCACAGGGGCCUCAUUGGGAGUUGAAGUUUCAUUAUUUAUGCCUUCAGCAUCCACAGCUUCUGCAUCCUUCUUCUUGAUCUGUUUUUCAUUUAAAGCAGGAUUUUCUCCUUUAUUCUCAGUUACAUUUUUCUUAGCUCCAAUAUUGCCAUCUUUUUUCUGUUCGUUUGUUUUUUGAUCAACUUUAUCAACUUUGCUUGCAGCUUUGUUAGAUAUUUCAUUUUUAAUGGAAUCGUCUUUGGCAGCUUUUUUCUGACUUUGAUCCCCUGAAGAUAUGAACUAAAAAGUUUAACAACUAAAAGGGGAAGCAAGAUUAAAACCAAAGGUACAACAUGAACGGGAAAGUCUUAUAUUCAGGGAAUUACCUUGGACAGUUUCCUUCUUCUGAUCAGGUUUCUGAGAUGAAGGGAGAAGAGUAUUAGAAACAGAAGCUGCAAAGCAAGUUAAGGCUAAAAAUGUAGGAAAAGCACAUUUAACUUUCACUAUUUUCAGAUUGGCCACCUAGAAUUCUGAACUUUCAGUUUAACCCACUGAUCUACAAAGCAAAGUGAUAAAAACAUACUAAUGGUACACUUAAAGAAAGAGGCAGAGUGAAAAUAGCAAUAUCUAAAGGGGGGUGCCCGUAAUUUAAUCAUAAGAAAAUUCAGAAAUGAAUUAAAACAAACAAACUUUCUCAUUCUUCAAGGUAACUUUUCGUUCCCUCUCCUCCAUCUCCUUCUUGAAUGCAAGCCAUUGGCUUCUCCAUAGUUCAAUUGAGGGGAUGGAUUGCGACAGAUCAGGUAGAAAUAACACAGUGACUUCUCUAUGGCUGAAGAGUCCAUCCUUGCCAACUCGAUUAUAAUGUAUCUGCCAAAAUAGAAUUGAUUAACCAGGACAUAAUACCAGAAAAUAAUCGAUUAAUCAGGAUAUAAUACCAGUUAGACAAACUAAAAAUAAAACUCUCGUCCCUAAAUGCGAAUUCAUAAAUAUGCAGCUACAUUUUGAAAAUGAAAAAAAAAAAAAACUUCAUUUUAAGGUGGCUACAACAAAACAGUGAUUCUCUUCACAAGCAUGACAUACAGAAGGACAGCAAAUAACAUCACAAUCUUAUAUAACCAGACAAAGUAGAAUGAGAAAAAAAGCAGCUCGAGUUGCACUCUAAUGGAAAGGUAACAACAACUGCAAAAGACAAACAAAAUAACCUGAAUACACUCAUGAUGAAGCACUAUUACUGAGUUGGAAAGUCUAAAUCCCAAGUCAAAACUGAUGGGGGAAAAAAUUGUACUGAUAAAUUAAAGAAAUUAGCGUUCAAGCUUUUCAAGAAAAAAUUGAUUGUAACUAAGGUAGUCCAAAAUGCAUGAGACUUGGCUUAUCUUAUGAGUUACCAAAUCAUGCUUUCAAUACAUAUUAUGGUUAGUUCUUUAGAGGACAUGGGUUACAAAAGGAAACUCUCUCUUCUUUAUCAUGAUUUCAGAAGUAGUCAAUGAAGUAGAAGUUUACAGCAAUGAAGUCGUAGUUACCUCAACAACAUUUGACAACAAAAUUAUUGGAAGUGUGCGCAAGAAUUUAACUGAUGAAUCUCAUAUUAGAAGACGAGACAACUACGAGUACUAGUUCAGGAGUGAGCAUUAUCAUUUAAAUAUGUCGGGCCAGUGGUAACAGGUAAUUUGUAAAAAUGAUAAAGGUAAAACUCAUUUUCUUUAAUGAAAAGAUGCAGCAAAAUAUACCUCAAGGAAGCGAUUCCAAUGCUGGCAGCUGUGUAGAUCAAGCUGCGUCAGAUCCUUGACGUAUCUGUGCAAGAACAUAACUAAUUAUAAGUUCUGAAAAGAAACUAUUCUUUACAAAAGCACAAUUGAUGCAACACAUGAAAUUAUACUAUAUAUACAACACACACCUAGAAGCUGUUUGAAUCAAGCAAGAACUGUCAAUCAAGGGGUUACCGCCAUCAAUCGCAGCAUUCCAUGGCCCUCCAAUUGCCAUAAAAGAGUGAUCUUUCUUGAGAACAGCAAACUUGAGAACAUUGUUGAAGUGGAUGAUGCGUCCCUCCGUGCUCUUGUCGGAGCAUAUGUCUUCCAAUGCUUCACUGCUAAUGCCACUCAUCAAGAUUACCUGCUAGGAGAAGCUUGUAUUACAUGCUGCAUAGUUUCUGGUAAAAAUGAAUGAAGACACCCUCAGCUAUAAGCCUAUAAUAAGCCAUUUUGAAAUAGAUCCAAAAGUUUUAAUUAAUUGACACCCUUAAACUUCCUGCCCAUUUUUAAUCAAAUUAUAUGUCUUGGUUAUAUUGGAAGUUCCAUUGGCAGUGUUUUUGUUACUUGCUUAAUUGCAACAGCUCUUGUUGCCUCUCAGCUGAUGGGAUUGCAGGUUCUGUUUAGCAGUCAAUAGCUGAUAGCUAUCAGAGAAACUAAUGUUAACAGUAUACACAUCGAACUAGGGUGCGACAAUCAGAAAAAACAGCGUUAGGAAGUCUUUCAAAAUGGCCUAUAAUUGAGAGGGGCUCCAUACUAUUUUACCUAGUUUUCUUCCAUAACAGAUGAACAAAAAAAUAGAGCUAUUCAUAUUUUAUUGUUGUAACAUAUGAAAAAAGGGAUGAUCAAUUUAAGCAACUGAUCUUUUCCGGAUGAAUUAAAUUUAUAAUGGAAUAAAAUACCUACACUAAAUAAUUUACUUAAAUUCUAUACCUUGGCAUUCCAAACAGUAUCGCCGCCAUUGGGCGUUGCAGAUUUACUAGAGGAAACUAAUCCGUUUUCAUCGGCUUUCUCAUCUACUUCAACAAUGUCAUGCUCAAAACUGCUCCAGUCAAGAAAAUGCAAAACAGAAAAGUAGUAAUUUGUAAGGUUUGCUACAAGCCAUAGGUAGUAAACACCGAAUUGCAUUAGGAAACAUCAUACAACCAAAAAACAGGAAAAAAGAGAUCCCCAAAUAAUAUAUAUAUAUGUGUGUGUGUGUGUGUGUGUGUGUGUGUGUGUGUGUGUACCUCACAGGAGUAUGCAGUGAAAUAUAUAAGCUUUCCUUUGGCCAGUUCAAGACAACCUAGAAAUGAAUAAAUUUCAUAGUGAAAGAAAUGCUGAAGGUUAGUGAUUCAAAUGAUUAUUGAGAAAAUGACUUGUCAACAAUAAAAAUGGAGCCUUAUAUUACUACAGACGAAAGAUUUAAUCAUUUUGCAGUUCUUAUGAACUGAUCUUCUUGGCAUGACGAUUUGAUUAGGAUAUAAAGGACAAAAGCUAACAGAAUAAGAAACUAUCCUCACUUUUAUUGAAGUACUGACAUCUAAUCUUCCAAUAUACAUGACUUCCAAAGAACAAACAAACCAACCUUGGAAAAGUCCGGAGCUAUUGCUAGCCUGGGAUAUCGCUUGCUCAAAGAUAAGUAAUCUCUUUCAACAUCCACCAAGCAAAACGGGAAGACCUGUCAAGACCACUAUAAUUAAUACAUAUUUCAAGAAAAUACCUUGGUUAGCUAAUUCCUAAUAAAUAAGACCACCUAAUUCGUUGUAGCAACCAAUUGCAUACAGGUUACUCAUGUAAAGUUAACACAAACAAAUGAAAAGGCUAACAAAAAUGAUAAGAUAAUGUAGCACACAUCACGUAAAAAACCCUAAGGGUAGCAUCAUCUUAGGAAAGCUUAAAAGCUAGGGAGAUGAAAUCAAAUUUUCAAUAAGGGGAAAAAAGGAUAAAAAAGCUUAAUACGUGGGCACAACUGUCCAACUAUGGGAGUAAAUGUAUAUUACGGAAGCACCAUUAGGAAAGCCAAAGCGAGCUAGAAAUAAAAAGGAUGACAAACAAGAGACGUCCCUCUUUGAACACAAAUGUUCAACAAGAAAUAAUAGCCCAAGGUCAUAUACGGAGAACUUCAAAAAAGAGUGGAAGCAAAAAGGGAUUCAAGGACAUGAAUAGAAUACGAGGAAUCCAAGAAGAUGCCUGCAGCACCAAAUUUGUGAUUGACCAAGCCUAGGCUAAUACUAUCCGCGAAGACUCAUGAUAAUUUUACCUUGCAAACAUAAUCUCUCUUUUUCUCCUUAACAGGGGAACGAUGCCUUCACGAGAAUUAAAAAGUAAAACAGUUAGUUCAGAAAGCUGCACCAGUAGAUGAAGCAGCAACCUACUUGAAUCCACAGCUGAGAAAAAGAAAGAAAUCGUGAAGGGCAACCUAUGCACAGCAACAUCUCGAUGUGGCGAAACUCGACGCAAAGGUUUCUCAUCCCUUACAGAAGAAGAACCCCUACGAUCCCUAGAUGCUCUAGGUGGUGGAGUUCGUUCUCUCUUCAGAUCUGCUCCAAGCUUCCGAUCCCGUUCUCUCUCCCUAUCCCGGCGUUCCCGUUCGCGUAGCCGUUCUCUUUCCCUUUCCCUUUCUCGUUCCCGUUCCCUUUCUCUUUCCCGUUCACGUUCUCUUUCACGGUCGCGCUCUCUUUCUCGUUCCCUUUCUCUUUCACGUUCCCGCUCUCUUAUCUCGAGCUCUCGUCGAUAGGCGCUUCUAUCAUCCUUUCUGUCAUCAACCAUUGAGAGUCCAACGCUGGAAUGCGGUGCACGCGACAGAACACUACUUUGGUAGUCACGCUCGAGCGAGGGGCCACGAAGACCCUUUCCGGUGACGUAAUCCCGACCGGGGGGCAAACCCACCCCAUGUGUGUAGAUGAGGUCAUCAGCGUUUCUCCUUGGAGCUCCCCCUAACAACGAAGCUGCGUGGGCUGCACCAUAUGGCGCGCUUCCGAGUAUAGAUGUGCUACGAGGAUCAGCAUCGUAUCUUCCUCCAUACGAUUGAUCAGAUCCGUUAUGAAUCGAAGCAGUCCGCACUGCAUAGUAGUCAGCUUGUCUGUCCAGAAAUGUAUGCAAUUCUUUAUUCAGUGGACAGGAGUUGUGGGCAAAAAGAUUUCCAUAUAACAAGCCUUGAGAAGUAUAAUAGAUAUAUAUAUCAGCACUGCAACAACACCGAUUGGGAACAUUUUGCAGCAGUACACAGCAUAAAUGAUGCUUUGGAGAUAACAAUUUUCAAAGGAGGACUAAAGACAUGGUCGUUCAAAUCAAUGGAAAAGAAUAAAAGGAAAAACAGUUAGAUAGCACUUUAGCAUUUCUGAAGAUGACUUACCUUAUAUCCGAACCAGACUGCAGGGAUUGAGCUUUUAGUAUUUGUUGUUGCCGCAGUAGUGAUGUCUAUAGAAAAGUGCAACAAAGAGGUCAUUAGGAUUUCACACCACUAAGACAACAAUAAACCAGAAGGGAAAGAAUUAAACUACCUGCUCUAAGUGAUCGUGGAUCUCAGGCUGUACCAAUUAUCAAACAAUGGCAUUACAGUAUUAGUUAUAUAUAGAAGGUACAAAAUAAAGGCAAUCAAAAGGUUACAUAUACUAGGUUCAUAGACGAACCUGAUGUUGGUGGCUUAGAGAAACUGGAUCAGGGUAUCUUCGAACUGAAUCACUCGCCAAGUCUCUCCCACUAUAACUACCCUGAGCUUCAGAAUAGUGCCGUCUGUCCAACGAGGCAUAAUCAGAACUUGCCACUAAAGAAUAUUGAUCUGCCUUCUGACUAUAUCCACGGUUACUGCUAACUCCACCAACCUGUACGAAAACAAAGCUACUUCGAUAACUCCUAGGGAUGCCCAUGAAAUUGUGGAACACAUAAACUUGUCACCAUAUUACUUAAAUUAUUCCCUUUUUCCCGAAGAUAAAAUAGUAAAAUUUAUAUUGGUUCUCAUUUCUAAUAAUAUAUUUCUCAUACAAUUCCAUACCUAAUCCACAUGUCUAAUGUACUUCUAAAAGCUACUCAAUUUCAGCAUACAUCCAGGUGAGUUCUGAUAUCGGGCAUCUCGAGCCCUAAAGGUCUCAUCUUCAUUUUUUUUUUUUUUUUGGAAAUUACAAAACUAAAUCAUUAAACAUCAUGUGAGAGCAAAUAAGCGCAAAUAAAGAAUCAGGAAAGGGUUCGAACUUGUGCUGGGAUAAAGUAUGAGUAGUUGCUUGCGAUUUUAUUUUAUUCGAAUCAUACUACAAACCAAACGUAGGAAAACAAAAUAUGUUGAUUAACUAUGUUGAUUGUCCACAAAAUAAAUGCACUAAAUUACUCUAUAGAAAUAUGGAAUGAAUUUAACCGAAGUUGGUGAAAACACGGUUAGAUGGUCGCAGUAACACCUACAGUUAAAUACGACAAAAAAUGGUACAGGUAAAUCCUAAAACUGCAAACUUCCAAAUAAAAACAUCGAGAAAAAAGACCUGCUGAGCACUGCUCAAGGAAGACGAUCCAUAAACGGAGGCAUAAGGCCCUCCAUACUGUGAUGCUUGCGAACUAUGGCUUCUAUAUCCGCCAAUAUCUGCUUCUUGAGCGGCACUAAGACCUACCUGCCGAGCAUCGGGGCCGCCAACCCCAUAAACGCUACCAGGCUGUGUACAACAAUGAGAAAUCAAUGCCAAACAAACAUUAGAGGCUAAUCUUUAACCAAAAAGGGAGCAAAGAUUGAGAUCUUACGACCUGUCCAUACGCCUGUUGCGCUGAAUAUGGUUGUUGGCUGUAAGGGUUCCCACCCUUCGACGGGUACAUAUCUUAUUUCUAACCACAAAAAAUAGCACAUUUCAUCAUCGUCGCGCACAGAAACAAUGUUCGGAUGAUUAUAAACGCAAGUAAGAAUAAUCCUGAUCGAAAUUUAGCAAAACCCUGCACAAACCUUUAAUUGUUCUAUAAUCAAUACAAAUAAUGAUGAAUCGCAACCCUAAUUGCGAGGAAAAAGAUUAGACAUACGAGAUCGCUCCGAAACCAAGUAAAGAUCUACUAGGUUGCACGAUCAUGAGAUUUGUACCUUCGCGGAGAUCGCAGCGUGAGGUGGAUCACGUCGAUCGCAAGAGAGAGGAAAGGAGAGGAAGCGGCGAUGAGGUAAUGGAUGAGGAGGGAGGUGAAGGAGACGAGGGUUUUGGUUAGGAGUCGAUCGAUGCGAAUUUUGAGGGUUUCCGGUGGGUUCCAGUGUGAUCGAAUCUGAGCGAGAUGGUAGCAUAUAUAGAAAGAAGUCGCACGAAUCGUAAGGCAGUGAUCGUCCGCUUGAUUGGCUUCUGACGUUACAUGUAGGCUCGGGUCAAAUUGGGUUCCAUCAAGAAGCCGUUGUUAGGUCCGAGUCCGACCCAAUUAUCGAGUUCGCAGGAACGAGCUAAGCCAUUUUAUCAAUUAAUAAUUAAUAAUUUAAUAUCUGACUAAGUUUUUUUUAAAAAUGGUAAUGCGGUACUUAUUUUACACAGUUAUAUAGUAUUAAAUUAGUAUACUGUGUUAUAUAGAAUAUAGAAUAGUAUUUGAGACACAAGGUUGAAAAUUUUGCACUCUUUGGAGGAGACAAAUUAAAUGAUUCAUGCGACAAUUGCAUUGAAGGAAGUAAAAUGCUGUUGUUUCUCAUCACAUUAUUCCCAUGAAUUCGUUGAAAAGUUAAAAACUAAUAAAGCAUGCUAUCUUCGCUGUAUUCAAAGGUUCCUUAGCACGAAAUCGGCUUUCUUAAAUAAAUGGCUACAUUUAAAAAAAAAAAAUAACACAAUUCAAUUCAAACUCGUAAUUUAUGUGAUGUAUCUUGCAUACACACAACUUAUUUUCUCAGAUAUUAAGCCUUUAAGUUUCUAAACCAUUUCCCGUAUCUUCUUCGUCCUCUCUCUCUCUCUCUCAUGUUCACACCAUUGUUCAUGGCCGCCGCACUCCUAUUAGGCGCGGUCGAUGUGGAGAAAGCGGCUCAUGUUCCGGCGAUGUUCGUGUUCGGAGACUCUUUAACUGAUCCGGGAAACAAUAACAAUCUGGUGACCCUCGCGAAAGCCAAUUAUUAUCCAAAUGGUAUUGAUUUCCCCUACGCAGCUACAGGAAGGUACUGCAAUGGUGGAACGAUGGCUGAUCAUUUAGGUAAUUAAUAAAAAUGAGAUAUGGCCCAUUUAAUCAGCAUAUAAACUAGAUUAGAGUUUAUCUAAUUAAUGUUCUUAACUUCGGAAAGUUUUGGGCUUUUAGUCCAGUUCCUUUUUUGCAAUUUCGUCAAAACCCAAGCCCACGACGAGCCCGAUACAAAAGGGUCCAAAAAUGGUUGCGACAGUUGGGCCGUUUAUUCAAAUUGGAGAGCUUACUUUAACAAAAUUGCAUUAAAAUCCCUCCAAUAACUUAAUUGUAAGAGAAGUAGAAUCUUUACUAAUGAAUGCGGAAACAAAAUCAAAAUCAAACAUGUAUUAAAUAUUAAGUUUAUCAAGACAAUGUUGUUUUUUUUUCUGCUUCAUAUUUCGAUUUCAAAUGCAGGUGCUCUUCUUGGGCUACCGCUAAUUCCUCCCUUCACUAACCCCGGCACAACUGGUUCUAACAUUCUAAAAGGAGUAAAUUUCGCAUCAGCUGCUUCUGGUAUCCUUAGUGACACUGGAUUGCUCUAUGUGAGUCCUUAACAUCCAUUUCUUCAAAACUUUGGACGCAUUUGUGCUUCUCUACGGAAAAUUUUGCAGAAGCACUAAUUGAAUAGAGUUAACGGACUAUGCAUUAACAUUUUUCUUUUGAGUAAAACUGAGUUUCUUGUCCUCAAUAAGAUCGCGACUAUUUGUUGUCACAGCAAGUGCUUUAGCUCUUUUGUUUGUACACCUUCUAUUGCUUCUUGAUGUAAACAAGCUGCUCUAGAAGCUUGCUAAAUAGGUACUUUAAUUGUAGCUCCAUAUAUCUUGCACCAUAUAUUUUUUUUCCAGCUAAGAUCCUCACUUUGGUUUGUUCUUAGGGGGACCUCUUUACUAUGGAUGAACAAGUGAGAAACUACAAAGAAACAGUGCAAAAUUUGAACCUACUGUUACAAAAUGGGACAGGAGAGUUUCUAAGGAGAUCUCUCUUUUUCAUUUGCAUAGGAGCUAAUGACUACAUCAAUAACUAUUUGCUUCCAUUCUCAGACAAGUCCAAAACGCAUACUCCAAGUGCUUAUGCUCAGCUACUUGUUCAAGAGUACACCAGGCAAAUCAUGGUACUUUGUUUUAAUAUUCAUUUAUCACAUAAGAAUUAUGAAGUUAAACAUCGAUCCAAUUAUAGAUAUUUUCUUGAAUGGGUUAUCAAAUUCUCUCGACAUUGAUUAGGAUUUGUAUGAGCUGGGAGCGAGGAGAUUUUUGAUCGGCGGAGUUCCUCCGAUCGGGUGCACUCCGAACCAAAUAGCAAAUUCGGGGAACGACAUAGGCUCGUGUGUUAAUUCUACAAAUUGGUUAGUCAUGCGGUUCAAUAACGAAGUUAAAAUGAUGGUUCGAGAGCUAAAUACAAACCUUCGAGGGUCACACUUCCUCUUUUGGGACACAUAUGACAUAUUCUUUCACAUCAUAAAAAAUUCCUCACAUUUUGGUAAUCCUCUCCUACACAACUUACUAAUCGAUUUGGAUGUGUUAUUUUUUGCUGCAAAUUCGAUUUCCUCCUUUCAUCACUCUCCCUUUUGAUUUAUUAUUGUUAUUAUUACAAAAUUGUAGGGUUUAAGUAUACAAACAAAGCAUGUUGUGGGGGAGGGCGAUCGAAGGGCCAAAUAAUAUGCUUGCCCAUUUUGCCUCUUCAGUGUCGGAACCGAUCGGAGUUUGUGUUUUGGGAUCCAUAUCAUCCUACCGAUGCUUUCAAUGCUAUCGCGGUCAAGUAUUCAUUCUCACAAAAAUUCCGAACCUCAUUCCCUUCGAAUACACAACAACUUAUUCAAACUUUAAAGGUAUAAAAGAGAAACCUAUGAAUAGUUAAUUAGGGCGAAAGCCAAAGUAACAGAGUAAAUCUAGGUCGAUGUUGCAGAUAUGUUCCAUCUAAGUUUAAUAUUGUUGUUUCUCCUUUUAUUUAUUGAGGCAUAUAUAUAUAUAUAUAUAUAUAUAUAUAUAUAUAUAUAUAGCGUACAUAAUCAAUAACAAUAAAUAAACAAAACCUACUCACACUCUAGUUGCAUGCUUGUAUCUCGAUUGGAAUUAAUUUAUCGGCAUGCAGUUGUUUUUACUGUUUAGAUGGGUGGGAGUUGUUGCAUCUACUUAAGCUUGGCGGUUUAAAAUAACAUGCAUGAUCGUAUUCAACGCUCAUAACGGAAAUCUUAUGUAAUUAUCUUAAAAAUUAUUGAUGUGUCAGCAUUGGCGUGUAAUACAUAUUAAUAAUUAGUUCAAGGUGUCGAGUACAUUACUUUUUCUUUGUUAAAUUAUAUGAAAUUAUUAUUAUUUUCUAAAAAUUUAAAGUGUGAAAGAAUGGUAUUUUCAGUAUUUAUAUUUAUCUGAAAAUAAACUUUUAAAUUAAAUAAAAAAAUAAAUAAUAUUAGGAGUUUAAUUGAACUCAAAUAUAGAAUCUCCUAAUACUGUAUUAAAUAAUAUGAAAUAAUUAUUACACUCUUGGAAUCUUUAAUGAUGAGAGAACUGAUGUUUUUUAAAUAAUUAUUUUCAACACUCUUUUAUUGGGUCACGUGCACACUGGCUUUUUUGUCACCUAUUCUCCAAAGUUCUUGUAGGCUAUCAUGUAGCAAGCUAUUCACUGCAGCUCUGGCAAAACUAAGGUACCUCUCCCCCUACCGAUUUUAUUGAUGCAUGCAUGCAUCAUCUUUUUACGAGCACCUUUAUUACCCUUUAACAUAAAUAAAUAAAUAAAUAAAUAUAUAUAUAUAUAUAUAUAAAAUUGAGCUUCUAUGCUUUUAAAAGUACCAAGUCAUUGGUGCUUGUAAGUUUUCGGCCCUUGGAUUAAAGGAUGUGCGGUUAGGAUGAUAUGGGCCCCCUAGGGUUGAGUGGGUGGUUGGUUUAAUAGUAUAAUCUAACAGGUAAAAAUAAUCAAAAACAGAGAUCUAACGGUAAAAAAUUUACAAGCACCAAGUACUUGGUACUUUUAAAAGUACCAUAGCCGGAUUCUAUAUAUAUAUAUAUAUAUAUAUAUAUAUAUAUAUAUAUAUAAUUGGAAACAAAGGAUUAAAAAAGCCACGGAGAAGUGAGAUGAACACAAAAUUCUUGUGUGUUAGGACUUAUUUUUCGUAUCUUGUGAGUUUGAUUGGUUUGUUGGAUUAUUAAUUGAGAAAAAUUGAACAAUUAUUAGGAGUUAGGGUUUGAAACUUGAUUAAUAUGGAUUAAUUAACUUUUUUAAAACAAUUCUAAAAAGUGGAAAUUUGUAAGUUUGCGCUUAUCAAAUAUUCAAUAUUUAGCUGCGGCAGAAAGAAUAAAAUGAAUUGUCGAGAAUUAUUUUCUGACCGAAGAAAUAGCAUAUUGGAAUCAUUCGGGCAAAAUCAAAAGUUGCAAAUGGGACACUUUGAUUUUAAGACUUAGAUUUGUAUACCGUUAUAGUAGAAGUUCCAAAAUUUACUGGCAAUUUUACUAGUAAUAACAAAAAAAAAAAGUAGAUCUAAGUAGUAGCAGGAGCAAAAGGACAUCACACAUCAAUAUAUUUCGAUAUAUAGUACAAAAAAAUGCAUUUUCAACUUCUAAACGCAUAUGUAGUGAUAUAAGUAGUAUAUCAUCAGUGUCUUUGUAAAUAAAAAGCUAUGCAAUCUACACACCGUUAAGCUAGAGGUAUACUUUACAUCACAUCCAUCUUAGCUACUAUUUUUUAUUUGUCGUAUCAAAAUUUUUAUAAAAAAAAACUAAAAAUCUAGUUGGUCUUUUAUAAAUCCUUGAAUGGAAGAAGGGUUGUAGAAUUUAGGAAAAAAUUGAUUGGUGAAAUAAAAUAAUAACCUAAUUUGGUACAUGUGAGAAAACACUUUCUUAAGAAAUACCUAAGAAAGGUUGGUGGCUUUGAUGUUUCAAAUCCAGAGGUGUCACAUGGUGUAUGUACUUAAUUGAGUGGUGUGCAUGCCUUAUAUAUAUUCCUGUAGAGAUGAUUCUCUUGAUUUUAGCUCCUCAAAAGGGACAACCUGGAUCACCUGGGGUGGUGAAUCAUGGCACUAGUGUUUUUUAUAAAGGAGAAGCACUUUGGGCUAUGUUGGACCCAACAUGGCUUAUUUCCUCAGGCCAAUGAUCAGGCCAUGGCAAAGUUGUAAUACAGUAGUAACUUGUGCACAAACAACAUAGCUUAUGAAGCCUAGCUACUUCAAUUAGUGAGCCAUACCACAUUAAUAUUACACAUAUUACCGGCCGUCCCUAAAACAAGUGGCAAAUGGCUCGAUGGUUGGUACCUGAGGCCCAACUUCAAAUCCUAGUUGAUUCACAUUUCUAGUUAAGUUUAUUUCUAAAUGAAGUAAACGAAGUGGAUAGCAUGCUACCUAUCUCUCAAAAAAAUAUUACACAUAUUUCAUAACAAAUUUUUCUGAGAGAAACGUAACAAGCGAAGUUAACCGCUUUAUUUAAAAAUAAACUCAGCAAAAAACGUGAAGCAACCACUUUUGAACUUGGAAUCUCAAAUGCCAAUUAUAAUGCUUUUAGCCAACGAGUAGGGUUACUAUACUUUUAUGAGUAUAGAGUCCUUUGUACUUCUAAGUUGUUCUUAAUGAUGGAGCUUCUAAAUCGACGAUCCAUUCCGUUAAAUAUAAGCUAGAGUAUUUGCAACUUUAAAACAAUAAAUUUCGUAAUUUUUUAAAAUUAUAAUAAUUAAAGUCCGUCAAAUAGGUAUAAAAUGAACAGUCAAAAUCGAACGACGUCCUAAAAAUGGAUGAUCGGAUCCUUCAAUUUAUGAUCGGAGUUAUUAAUCUUUAUCUAGAUAAUGAAUUUAAUUUUCUAUCAAAAAUUCAAUCUAUUUCAAUUCUUUUAUACCGUUAAAGUAGCAAGUAUCCCAUAUUAACCGUUAAAAAUUGCCAACUUUAUGACCUUUUGAUUGUAAGGUAAAUGAUGUCGAAAAAUUAUAAAAUUUGAUUUCUGAAAAUUUUAAAUACUUUAGAUAUUAUUUAACGGUAUGAAUCGUCAAUUCAAAAACUCUACCACCGAAAACGACUUAUGAGUACGAAAAUAUUCGUACUCUUAUACUCAUAAGAGUACAAUAACCGGACUCUUAGCCAACUAUGUUAAGUGCGGUUAUUUCAUAACAACUAGUAAAUAUAUAUGUAUACUCUCUUUAAUUUUUUGUAAUGGCUUUCUCUAUCACUUUAUUUGGUUACGCUGGAGAAAAUUGAUUAUUUUGCAAGACGGGUGGCGCGCGUGCCAUUAUAUAUUACCCGUCAUAGUUUAACUCAAAUUCAAACAACUUGUCUGGUUUAGCAAGAUUAGCUUCUGUGAAAAUAAUUUUUGUGCGUUUUUUUUUUUUUGAAAAAUCGUCAAUAACUUUUUAAUUCGAAUAUAUUUAUAGCUUCUUGUCGUAGUAGAAAUUAGUUUUGCGUGCCAAAAUCUCACCUUGAGCUUCUCACCGUAGAAAAACUCUUCAACUUUUUUUAAAAAUCGUUGCAAUAAAUGUCUAGCAAAACCUUAAAAUGGCUCUUCCAAACGAAGUGGGUAGCAUCUCUCAAUAAAAAAAAAGAAAAAUUGAAGCGGCCAGCAUGCUACUAAUCUCUCAAAAAAAAAAAAACAUGUACGCAAUAACGUAGACCUAAUGAGUAGUAAAUAUAACUAGCUAAUAGUGUAAAGAUAUGAAUAGUAUCGUUAACAAAGUUAUUUUUAUUAUGCACAAUUAAAUUAAAUUCAUUAAAAACACACGGGUCUAGUAUUAAGAGCCGUGUAAAGCUUCUGAAUUGAAAGAAUUUGGUAUCGAACCAUAUAAAAAUAUAUCUCUCUACUUGUUUUUAGCUAAACUGGUACAAUUAAUAUAAGUGAUAUAUGUUGCCAUUUUGGAAAGAGAAAAACAUUCAAAAUUUAUCUGAAUAAUACAUUAUUUUCACUGCAAUAAAAUUAAAUUAUAAGGAUAUAUUUUUGGAAUACUUUUAUGUAAGUGUCUCAUUUAUAUCAAAUAUUUUUUAAAAAAUUUACUAAGAUCUAAAUAUAAAAUGCAAUCCAAUCGACAAUAAAAAGUUUCUUUACUCAACCAACCCCACUCGACCCGAUAACAAAUAGAAUAGAAAAAAAAUAUUAUCAUCAUCUCCCCCUCUCUUCCUCCGUCAUCACAGCUGACGAGGUAGGAUUCCGACGGUUAGAGUUCGGCCACAAGAACCUCACAGGACCGUAGAGGGCUACGAUCGCGACGUAUCCCUCAGCCACAGAUCGCUACAGGAGGAGUCGGUGUCCAACAUCAAGACGGCCCUACAUAUAGUGACCCCAUAUAUAUAUAACAACACUUUUAACUUUUUUUUUAACAUGUACCGAUAUUUAAAUGUCGCUAUAAAUACACCGUUUUUGUUGUAGUGUUUCAAAAUUUUAAUUUUGUUAAUCAACUCUUUUUUAUACAUAUUAAAGUCAAAGUAUCGUUGAUUGGCUUAAAUCGAACAUGCUGAAAGAUUGGAUAGUAAAAUUAAAAAAUUUUAAAAAAAUAAAUAAUUAAAUUAAAAUAAUUCAUAAUUUAAAUAACUUUUUAUCUUUUACGUUUUAGAAAAUAAACAAAAUUACUUUCCAAUCGUUGCUCUUCCACCGGGAGAGUAUCAAAGCUAUGUCCUCGAUCACCAUCAGUAAAUAAAAGGUACAUCACCGACUGUCCCUAUAACAAGUGGCAAAGAAUUUGGUGGUUGGUAUCUAGGGUCCCAAGUUCGAAUCCUAAUUGAUUCAUAUUUUUAGCUAAAUUUAUUUUAAAAUAAAAUAAAAAACGAAACAGAUAGUGUGUGAAACAACCGUUGUACUCUAUAAACUUAAGCUUUUAGAGUACAACGGUUGUUUCACAUGGUAUCAGAUCCAGAGGUCACGGGUUCGAUUCCUGUAUGCUGUAAAUGUGUACAGGUGCUGGAGGGGGGAUUGUUGGCUUAAAUGGGCCAGCAUCCUGCCCUGUGGCGGAAGGCCAUGUGGGCCGAGUCAUGUUCGAAAUGGCGUGAGGCUGGGUUGGGCCGAGUCAUGUUCGAAGUGGCGUGAGGCCAGGUGAGCCGAGUUAUAAUCGAGACUUUUUAAUCGGCUCAUGACGUGGGCUUGAAUUAAAUAGAAGGAAAUUAAUAUACUAGGAGCCUGUCGUGACUCGAACUCAGUACUUCUUACUCUGAUACGAUGUGAAAUAACUGUUGUACUCUAAAAAGCUUAAACUUUUAGAGUACAUCUCUCUUCUGAUACAUCGCAUCUUAAAGUUAAUGGGUGGUUGGUGAAAAGCUGAUCUUGCGCAACGCGAAAAAGCGAAAACACGUGACUACCCGAUAGCCAUGUUACUGUACGAGGUUCGGCUUUUGCGGAAACCGACUCUACUGCUUCUUGGAAAAGCAGAAUAGGUGCGUGGUAGGGUAGGGCUUUAACUUGGCUUCUUGCAUGCGACCUGCUUGACGCGAGGCCUAGCUGUGUAUAUUAUUUUUUUCGAGAGAGAUACGUAGCACACGUUACUCGUUUCAUUAAUUUUAUUUAAAAAUAAAUUUAACUGAAAAUGUAAAUUAACUAGGAUUCGAAUUCGGGUCUCAAAUACCAACCACUAAACUCUUUGCCAUUUGCUCUAGAGACGGUCGGUAGCUGUGUAUAUUAUUGAGCUUAAUUAAUUAGCAUAUAUAUAAGUUGGCGGUGCAAUGGUGCAUGCCCAACGCGAUUAUUUUUCAUAACCACGUUGAAAAUGGUGACAUAAAUUAAAAAACAUUGGCCGUGAAUGCAUUGAACCACUUACGAUUCAUUUUUAAUUUAAGCUAUAUUGUUCUAUUCUCCAAACAUGAAGUACAAAAUCACGUUUACGGCAUGCGCGUUUUACUGUAAGGUAUUUGGAAACUCGUUUGAUCGCAAAUGACCGAUUAGUGCAUUGUGUCGCAUUAAACAUAUUCGGCCCAUUUUAUUCAUAUUCAUUAAUUCUCCCUGAAAGAGGAGAUAACUAUGAUUCUAAUAACCAUCAUCCUAAUAUAAUUCUCUAAAAUUUGGUGUUUUAAUUUUACUCUUAGUGCUUCACUGUAGCAACUUAGUCUGUAAAGCUUGAGUAUGUACAAUCUUAAUUAAUUUCAUAAUUGCGUUUUUUUAAAAUUUUAAUACCGAAAAUAGCCUUUCUUUUACUUCUUUUCUAAAUUAAGUUUGGCCUUGAAUUUAGUUUCAUUCUUAGAUACUUUGGGUCCCCUGAAAAAGUGUAAUAAUGAUGUUGAACUAACAUUUUGUAGAUUAAUUAAAGGGCUUAAUUUUUACAUGCAAUAACCUUCAUGCGGUAAACUAUUUAAAAUUGAAACUACGAUAAUAAAUUUAAGAUCUAAACCAAACUUUAGGGACCAAAUUUAUACCGUGGUGGCGCAAUAACCCCAAUAAUGGCUUUGUUCAGUUAAAAGGCGACGGUAAUCAGAAAAUGUUUGGACAAAAUACUGUAUAUCGAUAAAUUUGAUUUACAUCCAAUGAACAUUACUCGAUAGCUUUUUGAAUUUGUAUUCUAUAAUUUAGCGCAGAAUAACGAUCACUCAACACCGCUACAGCAAUUAACGAUCGGAAAGCUUGGGCGACCAAAAGGUCUCUUUGAUGUGAUUUCUCUUCAAGGCUAGGUGUUCGUGGAAACAUCAAUGAAUGAGAGUGGUGGGGGUCGUAAUGAGGUGGGGCAUGGAACAAAUUAAUUGUGAGAGGUGAUGGCAAUAAGAGACGCUCUCCAAUUUUUGAACCAAAGAAAUUCAGCACGAAUAUUGAGGCAGUACCCCCACCUUGUUGGCUUGUCGAUGAACCGCUCAAAAUACAAACUCCUCACCGCACUAUACUCUGUGGCUGCUUAUCUUUAUUCUAAAGUGGUGUGAUCUGGAAGAUAAACUUGUCACAAUGUUAGGCCUCCAUUUGCAGCUCGCCUAUAAAGUACAGUGUUGUUGGAUAAAGUACUGUAAUAUGCAAAGCACUACAUGUCGAAUGCGGUGUUAUCUUAAUUAAAUUGAAGUUACAAAGGCCUAUUUGGUCCGGUUUAAUCGAUCACUCUGUAUUGUCGGCCCCAACUAUAGAAGUGAGUAAUUUGACGGCGCGCUUUUAGCACAACUUGCAAGUAUAGACUUUAAUUGCUUUGAGUAGCUUCCCAGAGAAGCUUUUUGUCACUGCAGCACGAUGCGUGCCACACCAUGUAGGGUUGUAAAUUCAGGCCAAUGGCUCUAUAUUAUUUGACUGACUCUAUACAGAAAUAUUAUGUAGCAAUAAAAACUGUUUAACAAAUUCUUUCGUAGAAAUACUUUAAUUUUCUCUGAUGCGUAGCAAUCUAAAACAAAUUACCUGUCUUUUUUGUUACUUAGCAAAAUUUCUACGGGCGUGAAAAAUAGAAAGAAAAAUGGUUCUUUAACUUGCAUCCCAAAAUAUAUAUUGAAAUUUUUUAAUUUGGUUACACAAAUGACUAGUUUUUUUUUAAGAGAAAAAUAGCAAACUAUAUGUCUCGAGUACCAGCCACCAAGUUCUUUAUCAACUGUACUAUAUAUGAUUAGUCGCGUACCCCUAGUUGCUUUUAAAUUUUGAAUCAUUAUGAUCAAAUCAAUUCAAUCUCACAUCGACGACAACGAUGGAAAACGAAAAGAUCAUGGCCUUAGUCGUGGUGAUGAUUAUAUACACAACAUCAGCUUAUGCGCGCCGUGGGUGUGGCCACGAGCGUUGUAGGCUCAACUCACGAAUUGUCCACACAUCAUGAGUUUUGAACUAAUAAUUGGGGACCAUGCACUAUUAAUGGAGGAUUCUUAAGCACCUCUCUCUCUCUCUCUCUCUCUCCCUCUCUCUCUCUCUCUCUUUCUAUAUAGGUGACAAUUCAGUUUUGUGCCUCGGUUUACACGUUUUGUUUAAAAUUGUAUCACUUGAUUCCAAACUUAAAUAAACAUACAUGUAAUUCGCUUGUUAUUAUGCGUUUUCACUUUUGGAUUAAUUUUGCAUUGCACUCGUUUGUUAUUAUGCGAUUUCAUUUUCAGGUUAUGGAUUCACGUGGAUUCUAGCUAUUUUAAUUCCUUACGACAAUCUAAUAAUGGUGGUUGGAUUGUACCAUCAUACCGCAUAGUUGUUCUUCACGUUUUUAGAUUUAGGCAACUUCCAAAGUAUUAUUGAUACACUAACAGUGUUUUGUAGUACGUGAGAAAGUAAUCUUAUUAUAUUAUCAUCUAUACUUUUGAAGACACCCGUAAUGUCGUUUUUAGGAAAAUGUGAAAAGUUAGUAAUAUUCUGAACAUCAAUAUUUAGUUAUGUACUCACAGGAAUAAGCUAUAUAUGGAUCUCUACCUCUAACUAUAAAAACUUGAAGAGGAGAGGAAAUAUGAAAGGUACCAUGCAUUUUAUAAAUGUGACAUCAUAUAUUUGGUAGAACUAUAUAUGGUGAUAAAUUAAAAAGAAGGCCUUAAUGGUCUGCAUGUCUCUACUUCUACAAUUACUCUAGUAGGUGCCCUUCGUACGUAUUCAAUCUCCUAACCAACAAUAAAAAAAUAAUAAUAAUAAUAAUUACCUAUAUAUUCCUCAAAAUUUUAAAAAUACCGCAUUUAUCUUUACUAUUUUGUUCUUUCCAAUAUAAUCCUCAUAUAUUCCUCCGUUAUUUCAAAAUAUCCCUACAGUUACUAUCCGUUAAGUUUAUUUGGGUUAAAAGUGAGUUAAAUAUCUACUAAAAUUUUAAAAAAUCAAAAUAGCUCUUUUGCUCUUAACUUAAGGACAAAUAAGAAAUUUUGGUAAUGGUGGAAGGGUAUAUUUGAAAGGGCAAAAUAGUAAUUUUAUAUAAAUAACAACUAUUGCAAACUGUUUAUUAACAGAAUUUAGUUUAACUCUAUAGAUAUAUUUGAAAUAGUUGGAACGUAAAAAAUGUAUUUUUAAUAUUAACCUUCUAAGAAAAUAACUCAGAAAGCCGAUAAUUUUUCAGGAAUAUAUAAGCAAUUGCCCAUAAUUAAAAAAAUGUCUAAAUUGGCACCAUGCCACAUUUUUAAUACACUAGGACAAAUAAUAAUAAUAAUAAUAAUAAUAAUGCUAGUAAUAGUAACAAAAACCUCGAUUCAAAUUCUCAAACUUUUUAAAUCACCUCAAUAUAUUACAUGUGGUAAGUGCUUGUUUAUUUCUAUUUUUUGCUUCCGGUGUGCUGAAUUAAGGGAGGGAAAACAAACUUAUUCUACUGAAACAAAAGGCAAAUAAUAUGAUUUUAAAUCUUAAGUUCACACUACAACAAAAACGGUCUAUAUCGAUACUUUUAAAUGUAGGUAUAUGUCAAAAAAGUGCUGCUAGCUAAAAUUACUGAUACUUUUAAAAAGUGUUGCUAUAUGUGGAGUCGCUAGGUAUAUAGUGACAGUUAAAGAGCGUCGCUAUAACCUAAAAGAGUGCUGCUAAUUUACCAACACUUGUUUAAGCAUUUAGCAACCGCCGAAACUCUAUCUCGUUGGCUGUGGUGGCGGAGGAGGACGACAGUAAAGACUCUUCGUCUAGAAUUUCAGUGGAUUGAGUGAAGAGAGAAGAAAAGAUGGUAAUUAAUUUUUCUUUUUUUUUUCUUUUCUGUUUGUAAUCGGGCCAAAUAGACUAGGUAUGGUGGGUUGAGUAGAGUAAUCUUUUAUUUUUGGUUGGAUUGGGCUUUAUAUUUAGCCAUUAGUAGAUGUGUUUUUAAGUUUUAGCAUAAAUGGGACACUUACUCAAAAGUGUCUCAAACAUGUGUCCCUAUAACCUAAUUCUGUUGUAGUGUCAGAUUUUGUCGGAUCAUUGGCGCUAAUCACUAAUUUCACAAGUUCGAGCUGCUAAAAAUAUAUAACUUAUUUACUUAAAACGUACAGAUACAACGUUCACGGAUCUCGAUUAUAACUCGAUCCAACCAACCUCUUACCACUUCGACCUGACCUCCUGUCAUUUCAAACGUGACCUGACUCAAUCUGACUUAUCGUGAAAAAACAAGAUGCUAUCCCUUUUAAGCUGACAGUGCUGCAAUUCAGAAAGAAACUGUUGAUAUAUAUUGAGCGCGACUAGCUCGUCAUCUUCGUACUCGUCUUCUAAUCAUCUAACUCAUUAGCAAAGAGAGUAAAUUUUGAAUCGAGAAAAUGCCACCAACGGGCCCUAAUUGGCAUGCAAAUUGUUGUAGAUUUAAAUUUGGGAAUACACCUUAAUUAUCUGGUGCACCAACGCUUCUGUCCUAAUAGAAAAGGAUAAAAAUAAUAAAUAUAAAAAAACAAGAGUGUAAGAUGAGGUGCACAGCAUCUUACGGCCUCGGUGCAAUGAUGACGUGGUGCACCAGGCCCAGCUAACAAUUGCCUCACACCGUGUUGUUCUGCACUGCGGCGGUUCAUGCAUCGUCAAAGGGGACCUGUACUUGGCGUGGUGCACGAGGUGGCAAAUUGGCACGUGUGAACCCGGCCAAGCACGUGAACGAGUGCAUAUUUAUUUAUUGUUUUAUAAAAAUAUAUAUUUAUUUUAAAUAUUAAAAUUAUUUAACAAAAUAACUAAACUUUAUUUUAUUAAUAAAUUGCGUACAAACUUUAACUUAAUUAAAAAAAAAGUUAAUUUUAUACAUAUCCUUAUAAAUAUAGUGAAUGACAAAUAUACUCUUAUAAGCUCAACUUUUAUAUAUUAUCAUUACAAAAAUUCUAGUAUUUUCAAAUAUAUCUCUCUGAUUUUUUAUCGUUAGAUAAUCGUUAAUAUUUUCAAUUUUACCAUCACAAAUAUGUUCCUUAAAAAAUUAUAACACUAUAAUAUUAGAAAAUAAAAAUAUCAAAAAUUAAUCAAAAUUAAAUAUUUAAUCUAUAAUUAACUAAAAUUUUAUAACGAAUUCUAACAAUAAGAAUGCAUUUAAAAAUAUUUAAAUUUUUAUAAAAAUAAUAUAUACAAAUUAAACUUUAUAAAACUAUAUUCGUUAUUCAAUAUAUCCAAACAGAGAUAUGUUAAAAAAAACCACCAUAUGAUGCGCACGUAACACGCGGGGACAACGUUUCCUUCCUGUACACUUGUGUACCUUCCGUGCUUCGCGGCUUCGAUUUUCGAGCCUCGUGGAGCCAAUUUGCUGUAGUCACUUUAAAAAAUUAUGUAUUUAAUUUCAAACAAAUAUUUAAUUUAAAUAUUUUGUAUUUUAAACGUGCUAUAAAAAGAUAUAUCUCGGCCUAUUAAUUUUUGCUUUAUGUGUUAUGUGUUAUUUUUAUUACAUUUAGCUGUGGAUAAUAAUAUGAAAAAUAACAAAGUUGCUAUUCCUAAAACGGAAAUUAGCUUCCUUUGCUUAAUUUCAAAUAAUUAUGUUUGCGAUACAGUAAAUAAAUCGAGUAACAUAUAUAAACACCAUUAAAUGUGAGAGUCAAAUAUUUGAUCAGCAAAAGUUUAAAGUGUUUUCAAAUUUUUUUUGGUUUGAACGGAGUUUGAAGACAUAUGUGCCAUCUAAAUGGAGUUUUAUUUUGAAUCUUUUCAUUAAAUUAGUAACAAAAUUAGACAUUUCAAAUUGAUUUUUUUUAAAAAAAAUUUUUUGGUUGGAUUGGAGCUCAACUCGGAUUUUCACUUUCAUCUUUAGAGUUUCAAUCGUAACCAUUUAGUUGCCCAAUUAUUUUAAUUUAUAGGGUAAAAAGCAUUAAAAAAAAAAAACUGAUGUAGUACUUCGUUCCCUAAACUUUUAUUUGAUUUCAAUUUGUCAAUCCUUAUAAGACACAAAAUUGGUAACUAGUCUAAAAAAUAUUUUAUUUAAGACAUUAAAAAAACUGGAUUAAAGCACUUUGUCGACCUUUCAAUCAUUGCUUUAGUCAGAUAAUCAAUAGAAGCUAAUAAAUCCCUGUUAAAAAUUCUCUCUAAUAAGGUGGAAUAUCAUUUAAAACCUCUUAUAGAGUAAUUGUAUAAUACAAUAUAUGGAGUAGGGCUACUGUGCUAUUAGGAGUACAAUAGUUUUUGUGCUUCUAACUUUUUAACCACCCAUCAAUUUUGAUGAGUGGUUAGGAUGAGAAAGAAAAGAAAAAUUUAAAAGAAACAGGGUGUCUUAACUUCUCUUCUUUUGGAAUUUCUCUCUAAUAUCUCUUUUCUCUCACAUCUUAACCACUUAUCAAAAUUGAUGGGCGAUUACAAAGUUAGGAACACAAGGAGCUGUACUUCUAAUAGCAUAGUAGCCCUGCUCUAAUAUAUGAUUGGUAAAUUUCAACUUCACAAAAAUAAGCAAAUUCAGAGAUUCAAAGAUUUGACGAUUUGAGCAUUUUUUUCUGUUAUAAUAAAUUUUCAUUUUUUUUUUCCAAAAUAUGUUUAUUAUUUAUAAAUUUUUUUAAAAAAAAUUCAAAUACUAUUUUGCAAAUACAAAUACUAUAUAAGGGGUCGUUUGGUUUGAUAUAAUUAUAAAUGCAGUGUAAUUGAAUAUGCAUACCGUUGGAAACAUAACAAUAACAACUACAUGCAUCAUGUUUGGUUGAAUUAAUAAAAAGCGCUACAACUAUAAAUAAUUUGUUUGGUUGCAUGCAGUUGAGAAAUAAUUUUUAAAAUUUUAUCAUUUUAUAUAUAUGAUGGUGAGAUUACCUCCAAUGUAAAAAAAAAAAAAAAAAAUUUAAAAAAUAUUUAAAGAGGUAAGGUUAUAUUUUGUUUAAAGUUACUCUCUCCUGCUGCUGCAGUUGGGAUUGCGGCCAAUUUGGGUAUAAUUCCAACUGCUGCAGUUGGACCUCCUCUUGUGGUUUUUACUGCGGCAGUUGAGUUAAGUAUAUUAAAUCAAAUACCAAAUUUAUAUUUUUAUACCGUUAUAAUUGCCGUACAAUUAAAACGAUAUACAACCAAACGCCCCUAAAUAAAAAUAGUGCAAUACAUUGUAUUUACAGUUAAACACUGACACGAAGUAAAAUGAGUGCACGUUCACAAAGUGUCGCCUGCUGUCACGUAUCGUCACUAUCGACCAUUAAUUAAUUGCAGGUACGUAGCACAUUACUAAAAUUAUAUAUUUUUUUCUAAACAAAGCAUCUCUUGUGAUAGUAAAUUAGUAAUAAAGUAUGAGGAGCGUGGAAAAUGCAAACAUGUGAAUUUCUCAAAAAAUAACAAAAAUUAAUAAGUGUCGUAUUUGCGUUCUCCGCAAAACCUCCGGUGUUAAAACAUUAAAAGAAAUUAAAAUUGACCUAAUUUUAUAUUUUAAAAUAGAGUUGAUCUUUUAUCGUGGAACAACAGAAUCAAUAUGUACAAUAAUAAGAAUCUCGUAAAUCAAGUAACAAUUUUUUCUAGCUUAUAAUCCCUUUCUUUUGUCUAAUAGUUAUGCUAGAAUUUUAAUCUCUCAAAUGAUUAUUACGGAUUUAGUUACGAAAUAAUCAUUAUAUAAAAAUAGUUGAUUAACUAUUUCUGUGUAGGCUCCUAUUCUUAGGUGCAUCUUAAUUUUGUUUUUUUUUCUCAUAACUAGGCCAUUAGAUCAGCUAAUUAAAUUUGCCAUGUUCUACGCAUAAUUAUUUUAUUAUUUUCACUGCUUUUUGGGACAUGGUAUUUGGAGAUUUAACGGGAUAACAAUAGGAAUCUACAAGCAAUCUAAAUAAUAAUUAAUAAUAAUAAUAAUAAAUAAUGAGAAAUAAUUAAUUAUCAGAAAAUAAAAAUUAUAUUAAUAAAAAUGGUGGACGAAGAAAUUAAAUUCAAAAUCAUUUAUAACAGAGAAGAUUUUGCGCAAACUUUAGUACUAUAUAAAUAGUGUGAAAAAGCUUUUUGAUUUUUCUACCUAUUAUUUUAAUUUAUUAUUUGAAUCAGUUAAUAACCUUUUACCUUAUUAUUUAUUUUUGUAGAUUUAGAUAAUAUAUGUUGUGUAAUUUACUAUAAAUUUACUAAAAUAUAUAAUUAAUUUAAAUUUUGCAUCUAAAGAGUUAUUAAAUUACUAAAAAAAUAAAAUAAAUUAAAUUAAUUAAAGUUCAAAUAAGUCGUAUCCAUUGUGAUUCAAAGGGCGGAUAGGGCUAAAAUGGUCAAUCCACCGGCUGCGCCAUCUCAUGCUCAUCUACUGACACGUGUCCUUUUCGUUCACCCUACGUUUCAUGCCCCGUCCACUCUCCACGUCGACUAUAUUUUAAUGUCAAGCGCACCUAUGUUUACUUUUGGACAAAAAUUUUUAGGGGCAUAGUUCCAAACUAAUUAGUUUCGGGACUAUACAGAUCGGCGCCACAUGACUGAUUAGACGAGUGUCUUUCUCAGUUUUUUUUUUUUUCUCUCUAAAAACACAGGGCUCACUUUUCUUUUUUCUUUUUUUUUCAUCCGUGGCUGUCCAAUGGGCCACAUGGCGCUGAUCCGUAUAGUUUCCAAACUAAUUAGUUUGGAAAAUUUGCCCAUAAAAUUUUUGUCCUUUACUUUUGUUGUUUACUUUAAUUUUAAUUUUUUCAUUAAUUAUAUUUUUAUUAUUUUAAAUCAUUUAAUUAUUUUGAUUUUUUAUAGUUUUUAAUUAUAAUGAAAUUGGUAGGUCAGCACGGAACCUUGCCUAGUGGCAAUUUUUUUCUUAUGAUAUAAAACUUUUUAUGAUAUAUUAAAAAUGAAUUAUUAUUGAACGUUUAAUCUCAACUCUCUGAAAACCAUUUUAAUUUGAAAUAAAAGAUAACAAAUUCUCAAUUUUUUUAUUCAUGCACUUUAGCUCCAUAUUUAGUGGCAUGAGCACGGAGCUAAAUAUGGAUUAGUAAAUAAUAGCAGCAUGUUAAUUAAUGCAUAGGAAGUAAAUAUUUUUAAAAUAAUUUAUGUAUGCCCUGACGCAAUAUAGGUUUGCCAAUAAAUAAACAACUUAUACGUUGACUGGGACACUGAAACCGAAAAUAUUUUUGGGCUUUAUUGGGAUGCAUGCCACUUGUAUUUUUUAUCUAAAUUAUCAAAUCCACUACUUAUAAGUUAUCAUAUGAUGAUAAUUUAAAAACAAAAAGGCAUGUGACCCUUAUUUAUGAGAAGGGCUAUUCAUGUAGUAAUUUACAAAGUAAGCUAGAAAGUUCCUACUUUGUAUUAUAUAAUUUUGUUUGUAUUUUAUCAUACAAAUUUGUAGUUAAAUGAAAUUAAAAAUUACCAUACUUUAUAAUGUAGGGAGUGAUAAAAUAUAGCUGUUUACUAGUUUGUAAAUAUAAAAAGUAUACCUAUUAACUUUCUUCUGCGAAACAAUGUGAAAUAAUAGUAAUGAUAAUAAUAAUAAGUAUUAUUCUUCAAAAUUUUAAACCAUCACUUUUGGGUUAAAUUUAAAUUCUCGUGUUCCUACAAGCAGUUAUUAUUUUCGAAAAUAUCGAAACAAGCGAUAUUUUUAAUAUUUAUAUUCAACAUCUCCUAUUCCCUCCCCCUCAUUUCUAUUAUUUAUUAUGUGCCCUACUAGAUCCAUAACCCACUGUACAUGAUCUCUGUUCCUUGCCCUUCCACAUAGAUAUAUAUAUAUAUACAAGUCCCUCACCAAUUCUUAGGGACUGAAACUAAUAAAUCGUACUCCUCUCCAAUCACCAACAAUCUCUCUCUCUCUCUCUCUCUCUCUCUCUCUCUCUCUCUCUCUCUCUCUCUCUAAACCAGUUAGUGGGGGGAGAGAAAGCAUGGGGAGAGCUCCAUGUUGUGAGAAGGUGGGGUUGAAGAAGGGGAGGUGGACUGAAGAGGAGGACGAGAUAUUGGUUAAGUAUAUUACCACCCAUGGUGAAGGUUCUUGGAGAUCCUUGCCUAAGAAUGCAGGUACAAUACAUAUACAUGCAUGCCACUAAGCAAGUACUUCUCAAUUUGAUUCUAUCUCUACUUUCUCUCUCUAAAAAUGUUGGUUGGAGCUAGAUAUUUGCUUUUGGAGACAAAUGAUUUUGUCACAUAAAUGCAUGCAUGUAUGGUACCAGAGCAGAAGAUUUUCAAAACAAGUCUUUUUUUUUCAGAUUCUUAUUCUCAUACGAAUAAUUAAAGUACCAUUUCAUCGCAACUUAAGUUUUUAGAGAUUAGCGAUUAGUUCGCACCGAAUUAGAGAAACUUUAUAGUAUAUAUAUAUAUAUAUAUAUACCCAACUCAUCAUAAGUUGAUCAUCACCUUCUUCUUCUUCGUCCUUUUACUAGGGCUUUUGAGGUGUGGGAAGAGCUGCAGGUUAAGGUGGAUAAAUUAUCUUAGAGCAGAUCUAAAGAGGGGAAAUAUUUCUCAGGAGGAGGAGGAGAUGAUAGUAAAACUCCAUGCCACCCUUGGGAACAGGUACUAUGGAUCUUCUAUAUCUUUCUCUUUCUAUGCUCACCAUCCUGCAUUUUUUACCAUAAACGUCCAUCAUUUUACUGGGUUUUUCUCCGAAUGAUAACAUUAUAAUUAAUCAAAAUUAACUAUGUGAGGUUGGAUAUAAUUAAUUGGAGGUUGUGUUGGGAAAUUUAUUUGCCUUUGUGUUUGGUACCUAAACUCAAUAUAGUAUUCACUACUUAAAUUAAUUACCUUCUCUGGGUUAUGUUUUCUGAAAAGAUCCAAACACUAUUAAAAAGAAAAAUUAAAAAAAAAAUAUCCUGCACGGUAAAAUGCGCUUAUUAACUAAGACAAAAAAUUAUAAAAACUUAUCCUUUUAUGAAAAUUGUAACUCAGACCGUCCUUAGAGCUCGUGUUUGAGUUAGUCAUAGUUUUUACAACAUAUUGAGAUUUGCUUCCACUGUUGCUUUCGGUAGCAAUCGCAUCUUUUCUUUUGCUAUAUUAAGAAAUAAUAAUAAUAACAAUUACGAAGCUUAAAAUUAAAUAUUUAAUUAAAAAAGUUUCGAUCUAAUGCUUCUCUUAAAAGCAUUACUCAAACGAUACGUACAGCUGCGUACAUAUCAUAAAUAUCACUGCACUACAUCACUAUUUCUUUUCUCUUUCAUAAAAAAAGCUCGAGACCUGGCCCACACGUCCCGUACCAUUAUUGAUGCUGUUAUUAUAAAAUUAUUCACUUAUUAUUAUUAUUUUUUUUGUUCUUCGUUUCCCACAAGGGCGUUGUUUAUGUUUAACAACGUGGGAAGAGUCAGAGUGCGGGGUGGUUGUGGGGCCCACGCACGCAUCGGAGCUAGCGAAUCAGAAGCGGCCUUCUGCGCGGGUCGCAGGGGGUGGGCCCCGCCACGGCUGCGGCAGACGUGGCGUCCUGUGCGCCGUCGGUGGUGAUGCACGUGGGCGAAAUCGUCCACUUACCGUUUCGUCCACGUCACCGACUCUCUGUUUUGUCCUUUUCCCAUGUGCGGUUUAUUUCCUCUUUUUUCCACAAAUUUUAGUAUUUUACCUCAUUAUUCUACAAAAAGUACGUAUCCUUAGCAGCCAAGUAUAGAACGUUAACAAAAAGUAAAAUAAUAAUAAUAAUAAUAAUAAUAAUAAUAAUAAUAAAUUAUAUAAAAUUUAUCUGAAUUAUAGAUUUUUUUAGUCCCACAAAUUUGACCUUUCAAAAUUUUACUUUUAGUAUUUAUUUUUUUUAAAAUUUAUUUGAUUUGAAUAGUUAUCACCGGAUAUAAAAUUUUUACUUGUUUUAACAAAUUUAUAGUUAGACGAAUUAUAUAAAAUAUAUUAACUAAACUCGCAAAGAUAAACAAUGCAUUCAAAUUUUAAAAUUCAAGGAUUACUAACCCGCUUAAGUUAAUAAAUUAAAAUAUUAGAUAAUAAAAUUAAAAUUUUUUAAUGUCAGAUAGUUAAUUAGAUCGACAUGGGUGAUAGUUAAAGCAAUUAAGCCUUACACUUUACCUAAUAAUAAUUUCUUUGACUACUCUGCAACUAAUUAUUAGGAGGUGGGAACUCUUUAACGUACACGACGUAUUAUGUUAACAAGUUUGUAGAUCUGUGAACAGUUCUAUUGAAAAAAUUACUCACAUGUCCUAUCAAUUCUUUUUCUCUCUUUCUCAAUAUAUAUAUAUAUAUAUAUAUAUAUAUAUAUAGUUGAGCUGGAAUGCUAUCGGUAGCAAACGGGCUCUGUUGCCACCCAUUUGUUUUCGAUGAUGGAGCUUUCAAAUUGACGAUCGGCACUAUUGAACAUGAUCUAUAUCACUUGAAGUAUUUAGAAAUUAAAUUUCAAAUCUUUUCGAUAUCAUUUACCUAAUGAUCAAAGGGUUUCAAAAUUAGUAAUUUUAAUGGUUGAUAUGAGGGGUUUCUCGUUUAACGGUGUAAAGUUAUCCAAAUCAAUUGAAUUUUGGUUAGAAAAUUCUUUAAACUAUUUAGAACAAGAUCUAUACUCUCGAUCAUGAUUACAAAAUUUCUAUCAUCACUUUUUAGAGGACAUUCAUUUUCAGCCAUUCAUUUUUACGCCCACUUGAUGGACAAGAAAACAAUAUCGGAAAAGUAUGAAAUUUGACAAGAAAACAAUAUCGAAAAUUCUUUAAACAUCACUUUUUAGAGUCCAGCUACUAUACUAUUGAUAGUACCAAGCCCUUGGUACUAUUGAGUUUUCUACCGUAGGAUCUACCCUUUGGUCAUUUCCACCCGUUAGAUUAUACUAUUAAACUAACCACCCACUCAACCCUAGGGGACCACUAUCAAUUUAACCGGGGACUACUAUCAUCCUAACCGCACAUCCUUUCAUCCAACGGCCGAAAACUCAAUAGUACUAAGGGCUUGGUACUAUUGAUAGUAUAGUAGCAUAAUUCUAUAUAUAUAUAUAUAGAGAGAGAGAGAGAAUCCGGCUGGGGUACUAUCGAUAGCACCACGCAUUUGGUGCUAUCGAGUUUUCCACCGUUAGAUUUAACCUUCUGAUUAUUUUUAUCCGUUAGAUUAUACUAUUCAACCAACCACUCACUCAACCCUAGGGGACCCACAUUAUUCUAACCACCUAUUUCUUAAUCCAAGGACUAAAAAAUCAAUAGCACCAAUAACUUGGUACUAUUGAUAAUAUUCCAACCUAGUUCUAUAUAUAUAGAGUCCGGCUACUAUACUAUUGAUAGUAUCAAGCCUUUGGUACUAUUGAGUUUUCUACCAUUAGAUCUACCCUUUGAUCAUUUCCACCCGUUAGAUUAUACUAUUANUAUAUAUAUAUAUAUAUAUAUAUAUAUAUAUAUAUAUAUAUAUAUAUAUAUAUAUAUAUAUAUAUUUUUGUCAGGGUUGGCACGGUUGACAUUUUAUUCUCACCGGCUCAUAUUAAUUUGGAGGAGAAGAUUAGGUGUUUCUGGAAGGAUCCAUCUAUCCAUGCAGUCAAAUUACAUACUCGACACGUGUUCGUCAAAUUUAGGUGCGUUCACACCACGUUUGUGCGAUUUUUUCACAGGGGUUGUUGAAAACUUGUAGUUUGAAAAAUCUCUGCGUCCGCGCGCACGCCUGCCUGCGACUCUGCAGCAAAAGUCAGUCUCUAGACCUCGCUUACAAAUAGAUUGUGCUUUGUUUAAAAAAUAUAUAUAUUGAAAGAGGCAACUCUCUCUUUCUUUUAUAUAGAACACUUUAGAAUGCUCUAAAAAUAAGUGUUCUCUCUACUUACUAAUAGAACACUCUAGAGUACUCUACAAAUAAAUAUUCUCUCUCUUUAUAGAACACUUUAGAAACAAGUGCUCUCUACUUGCUAAUAGAGCACAUAAGAAAGUUCUAGAAAUAACUGCUCUAGAAUACUCUAGAGUACUCAUGUAUAUAGGAUGAAGCCUAUAAAUAGGUGAGGCCUCCACACCAAAUGGUAGAGUGAAGAGUGAGAAGUAGUGAAGAAAAGGUGAGAGUGGUGGUGUGAGGUGACGAAGUAUUGUGAGGUGUAGUGAAGUAGUGAAGUGAGUGUGUGAGGCUUGUAGUCUUUUGGGUGUAUGUAUUAGUGAGUGUGUGAGUUAGAAUAAUUUAUAUGUGAGAGUUAUUUUCUCUGUAAUAAAGAGAGUUUUAUUAUUAGUUUGGUACGCCAAUAUUCAAAUCUGAUGAAAUUUUUACAGAAAAUUCUUUUCA